UCGUUCGCUCUUUUCUCUUCGAAAACUUACCGAAGAUCGCACUGAUUACGCUCGAAACACCUCGUCGCUUGAAGAAUACUUCCAUAUUUGCCAAGUGGAGAAGUUUCGUAUUCCAGCGCUGUUUGGUUUUCGAGAAAAUAUCAACUUUCAAGAAUUCCUGAAGAUAAAAAAACAAAGCAAAACUUUCCAGUAGAGAAAAAUUAGCAGACGAUAUUCCGUAGUAGUGUAUAGGAUACCUCCUGCCCUGAAGAAUUACUUAAUUGCCACCUUCCGCCUUGCACUGUAUACAGAUUGGUACAUGUUGACAGUUCACAAUCCAGUCAAAUAAAAAGUGAGUAAACUUUUAAGAGAGAAAAAAAGGAGGUUAUUCUGUCAAAAUGUUUUUGAAAAUUAGUUGUUUAACGCAAAGCAGGUGUUUAGGUCUUCUGGGGCAAGAAGUACAUGUGUUCUGUCCUGUGAAAUCCAGGUAAACUUACGGCCCAGAGUCUCGAGAAGAAGGCUUACGAACAGGCUUAAGUAAUUGCUUGUUUAGGAUUGGAGCAAAUUACCGUGUGGAUCAGAGAAAGGGCAGCAACGUUGACGAAAAUCUAGACUUAAUCUGCAUUUCCCUGCAACACUGUUACACAUCGAAAACAUGCAUGACUCGAUUGAUUUAGAAGUAUUUAAAAGAAUUACAUCAUUUACGAUUUUCUCCUCUAAACCGAGAUAAUGCAUAGAGCAAGUGGAAAUAGCAUUUUGUUUUUAAACGUAAUUGUUACUAAUGGUGUGGUAGAAUAUAUAGCAUAUGUUUCAAAUUUGAAAUUGGGGGGAAAAGCGGUGAUUUAAUUGAUAAGGUAACCAUGUGACACUGGAGACGCCGGCUAAAGAAACCUUUCUUCUGAAUGAUUCACCAUUUUGAUAUAAUCUCGAAGAAAUUAGAUUUGUUAUGACUUAAAUUUUAUUAUCGUCUGUUCAAUAUUUUAUACGCAUUAUUGUCAGAAGCAAUUAACUACUUCGUACUCCUAAAAGUGUGCAAGUAGGAUGAGAGAUCUGCAUUAUGUUAAAUAGUUGAUGAGGUUGGCCUUUCAAAGAAAAAAACACAAUGAAUCGGCAUGGUUAAAAUAAAAAAGCUUAGAAGAAUAUAAGUAGCUUAUAAAACAAGAACCUACAAAAUAUUUAAAAAAAUAAACUCUGAAAUUAUAUUUAGAAAAAUUUAAUUAAACCUUUGGAAUAUUUCAUAAAUGU